CGCGUUGGAUUAGAUAGUUGGCGGGGCAGCGGCCUACCAAGUCGACGAUCCAUAGCCGGCCUGAGAGGUUGAAACGGCCACAUUGGGACUGAGACACGGCCCAGACUCCUACGGGAGGCAGCAGUGGGGAAUAUUGCACAAUGGGGGGAAACCCUGAUGCAGCGACGCCGCGUGGAGGAAGAAGGUUUUCGGAUUGUAAACUCCUGUCAUCAGGGAAGAUAAUGACGGUACCCAACAAGGAAGCGACGGCUAACUACGUGCCAGCAGCCGCGGUAAAACGUAGGUCACAAGCGUUGUCCGGAAUUACUGGGUGUAAAGGGAGCGCAGGCGGGAAGUCAAGUUGGAAGUGAAAUGCAUGGGCUCAACCCAUAAACUGCUUUCAAAACUGUUUUUCUUGAGUACUGCAGAGGUAGGCGGAAUUCCCGGUGUAGCGGUGGAAUGCGUAGAUAUCGGGAGGAACACCAGUGGCGAAGGCGGCCUACUGGGCACCAACUGACGCUGAGGCUCGAAAGCGUGGGUAGCAAACAGAAUUAGAUACUCCGCACUGCAACACCAUGAUCGAUGAUGUCUGGGUGCAGGGGUAUUGACCCCCUCAGCACAGCACUUAACGCAUUUCAGUUAUCCACGUGGGGAGUAAGACCGCAAGGCAGAAACUCAAAGGAAUAGCCGCGCGCCCGCACAAGCAGUGGAGUUAUAUGGUUUAGCUUCGACGACAACCCGAAGAACCUCACCACAUCUUUACAUCCCAGUACAGGCAUAGAAAUUCGUUUUCUACUCGGAACACGGAGACAGCAGGGUCAUGGUCGUCGUCAGUUGGGAUAGUGAGAUGUUGGUCCAACUCCGACAACGACCCCUACCCUUAUGAUCCGUCAAUAUAACAAGAGGCCUUUGGCCAAGCUUCCCUGGACUAACCGGAGGAAGGUGGGGAAGACGUCCAAUUCUCCUUCCCCUUAUGACUUGGGCUACCCCCGUACUUCCAAGGGGGUAAACAAAGAGAAGCAAGCCCGCGAGGGGGAGCAAAUCUCAGAAACAACGUCCCAGUUCGGACUGCAGUCUGCAACUCGCCUGCACGAAGUCGGAAUUGCUAGUAAUCGUGGAUCAGCAUGCCACGGUGAAUACGUUCCCGGGCCUUGCACUCACCACCCGUCA
rnacentral:rRNA from 1 species